ensembl:lncRNA
GUCCUCUGGCAGCAGCCCCAGCCUGUCGGUGACCGCCUUACGCACGGAUGCGUAGUCCCGCCGGGCCGCCGGUGGCAGCCCCAUGGCCGCCGUCUGCGCCUCCCCGGAUAAGAGAGGCAGAAGCCGGACCGACCACUCCUCCGCCGGCCAGCUGCACGCCUCUGCCAUCGCCUCAAAGGCCUCCAAAAAGGACUGCGCGUCAUCUUCCGCUGUCAUGCGAUGGAGCGCCAGUCCGGUCAGCACCGCGGGCCCGGGCGUUCGCGGAGCGUCGGCCGGUCGCGCCGCCAGUUGCUCCAGAGCCUGGGCCUGACGCCCCACCUGGGCUUGGAGCGCCCCCAGGAACUGUCGAUUGGCCUCCGCCUGGUCCCGCUGGAUGGCCGCCAGCUCGCCGAUCAUCCGACCCAGCGCCAGGAUUGGCUGAGCCGGCAUCCCCUGCUGCUGCUCGUCGGUCAUUCCGCCACACAAACACAACGUUAGAUUGGCAUCAGCUGUGCAGAUGCCAAUUGCUCCCACCUGGCACCGUUCCCUGAGCCACUCCCCCCUCUCUCCCGCUGCAAACGAGCCAAAACCACGCCCGCCACCACAGUACUGCAUCCCGCAUCCUUCAAACUACGUAUUUCAGAUCACAUACUUAAUUAGUAUGCAUUGGCUCCUGCCUUCUAUGAAUAAGUAUGAUUUUACAAGCAAACUGAGGUUCAUCUUUGUGCAUUCUUUUCCAGGAAACUGUCGCCCGCAGAGAGAAUCUAUGAUGUGCGUAAUCGAGAGCUACUAGCCAUCAAGCUGGCCCUCUAGGAGUGGAGGCACUGGCUAGAGGGGACAGAACAUCCGUUUUUGGUCUGGACUGACCACAGGAACCUGGAGUACAUCCGAUCAGCUAAGAGACUCAACUCCCGACAAGCCAGGUGGGCUUUAUUCUUUACCCUUUUUCAACAAACUCUUAUCGUCCACGAUCCAAGAACACAAAACCGGAUGCCCUUUCUAGAGUAUUUGACCCGGACGCUCCAUUGACGGCACCUUCCACCAUCUUGCCCCCUUUCUGCACAGUUGGGGCAGUAACAUGGGGAGUUGACGAAGAGGUCAAGGGUGCUCUCGAGAGGGUAACCGUUGCCAAGGGUUGCCCACCUAACCGCCUAUUUGUUCCCAAGUCGCUUCGGUUUCGGGUCAUCCACAGGGGACAUACCUCUCAACUUACCUUCCACCCAGACAGUGGUUGAACCCUGAGCUAUCUACAGUAACGGUUCUGGUGGCCCGCCAUGAUCAAGGAGGUGAGAGAGUAUGUUGUGCCCUGUCUGUUCCCAGAGCAAGCCCUCUCGUCGCCCACCAGCCGGCUAACUCUGGCCAUUGUCCCAUAUCUCCAUUGAUUUCGUCACUGGUCUCCCAGCCUCUGAAGGUUUUCUAAGAUGGCCCACUUCAUCCCCCUGAGUAAAUUACUCUAUGCCAAGGAGAUUGCGGAGGUUCUCCUGUCUAACAUUUUUCGGCUACAUGGUCUCCCGCAGGACGUUGUUUCCGACCGUGGCCCACAGUUCAUAUCACACUUUUGGAGGAGCUUUGCUUGCUCGUCGGGGCGACGGCCAGCCUGUCAUCUGGGUAUCACCCUCAGUCCAAUGGCCAGACCGAGCGAUACAACCAGGAGAUGGAGACGGGAUUACCUUGCAUAGUCUCGCAGAACCCCACGGCAUGGAGUAAGCAUCUCAUUUGGAUUGAAUAUGCCCAUAACUCCUUGCCCGUUUCUGCCACAGGUUUUUCGCCCUUCCAGUGCGUGUAUGGCUAUCAGCCCCCGCUCUUCCCCAACCUGGACGGGGACUCAUCGACGGGGGUCCCGUGUAUAUCGUGAGGCGACUGUUGGCAGUCUGACGGAGGGGUAGGGGCUGCCAGUACUCAAACUCUGGGAGUAAUUGAACCAGUGGAUGAGCCCACAGAAUGGGUUCUGAAUUUGGUGGCUACACAUAAGAAAGAGACGGGUGACGUGUGCAUCUGCAUAGACCCCAGAAACCUAAACAAGGCCCUCGUGC